AGUGAACGCUGGCGGUAGGCCUAACACAUGCAAGUCGAACGGCAGCACAGUAAGAGCUUGCUCUUACGGGUGGCGAGUGGCGGACGGGUGAGGAAUACAUCGGAAUCUACUUUUUCGUGGGGGAUAACGUAGGGAAACUUACGCUAAUACCGCAUACGACCUACGGGUGAAAGCAGUGGAUCUUCGGACCUUGCGCGAUUGAAUGAGCCGAUGUCGGAUUAGCUAGUUGGCGGGGUAAAGGCCCACCAAGGCGACGAUCCGUAGCUGGUCUGAGAGGAUGAUCAGCCAAAAUGGAAAUGAGACAAGGGCCAGAAUCAUACGGGAGGGAGCAGUGGGGAAUAUUGGAAAAUGGGAGCAAGACUGAUCCAGACAUACCGCGUGGGUGAAGAAGGCCUUAGGGUUGUAAAGCCCUUUUGUUGGGAAAGAAAAGCAGCAGGUUAAUACCCCGCUGUUCUGACGGUACCCAAAGAAUAAGCACCGGCUAACUUCGUGC
rnacentral:rRNA from 1 species